GAUUCCUAUUAUAAACUCUCUCUCUUCCUUCCUCCCUCACUUUUCUCUCUCCUCCUAAAAUAAAUAAAAAUACUCCGUCUAAACUCUUCAUCUUCUUCAAAUCACACGAGCAAUUUAACAAUGGCGAUUAACAGUACUAAUGCUAACGAAAUUAGCAAGUUAGUUGUAGUUGAUGUUGAGAAUGAAUUUGAUGUGGCGAAUAUCUUGCUUGAGUUGCCGUAUUUGAUGACGGACUCUCUUUUGAAUUGUCGAUUUCCGUACGAUUGGGGUUCUAAGAGGAGAAGAACUGCACUUGUUUCGCCUCCGCCGUAUUCGCCACCGCGUUCACGUCGGAAAAUUAAUGCGGCGUCGCCUCCGCCGUAUUCCGGCCGGAAAAUUAAUGCGGCGACACCGUCUAAAGUUGAAGCUUCUAGUCCUAAUACUCCUCUUUCUUACUCUCCCAGUGAGUCUGAUUGCAAGUCCAACAAACUCUCGAACAAAAAACCUCCUGGAUUGAAUUCGAGGAAGAAACAAUUGGAAGAAUCUGUAAAGGACAGAAUGCAAACUCAACGGCAGCUCAUAGAAUCAAUCGAAAAGGUGAGGGAGUAUUACAAUUCACAGAUGGCUGAAAAUUUGGAGUUGAAGAGAAGAAAACAAGCGGUAGUUAUGGUGACAAGUACUGCAAUAGAAAACCAACACCAAACACCAACAACUUCUGCAGUAGCAGUCAAUGAUCAAGUAUACGCGGUUCCAUCUUCAUCUAAAGUGUACCACCAUCAACCACCGUUGAGUUCUCAUCAUCAGCAAAACGAUCAGCAAAACGGUGGUAGUAAUAAUCAGAUACAUGCGCAUCCACAAACACUUACAGAGUACCACCAUCAAAUACCGUUGAUUACACAAUAUCAUCAACAACAACAUUAUCAUCAUCAACAAAAGCCGUUGAUUAUUUAUCAUCAUGGUCAACCAUCAUCAACAGUCAAUGAUUCAGUGUAUACGGUUGCAUCUAUUCCUUCAAUGCUCCCUCAUCAUCUACCGUUGAAUCCCCAUCAAUUCGUGAUGAGUGAUAAUCAACGGUAUGUAUUUGAUCUAAGCAUGCAAGCGUAUGAGGUUGACAGGAUAGCAGCAGCAGCGGCGGCUAGACAAAGAAGGCUUAGUUUUCAGAAGGGGAAAAGGCCACGUGUCGGAAAAUAACGGGUGAUUUUAGAGAAGUGGUUGUAAAUCCAUUGGGUUGCAUUUCAGUGCCGAUCAUGGGCUUCAUCCUUGAGUUGCUACGAUUGAUGUCUGCAGUUUGGAGUGGUUGUGCCGUUGAGGCGACGGAAAACAGGAAGAAUCAACCGGUGCUAAUCCGACUCGAGCUGAAAAGGAGGAGGUUGAUUCCCGUUCAAUUAUGUUGGCAAUGUGAGGCAAUUUCUAUCUUCUUGCCUACAAUAUGCAUGAAUGCAACAUGUGCAAACAGAACAAGAUGGGUGCUCUACUUAGACAAGACAGUAAAUUCACAAAUUGGCAAGAGUUAGAAUGCAGGAAACCUCUAAAGAAUGCUACUGGAAAUGAAGGUGUCAAAUGUUUGGUUAUAUUUUGUGCAGCUCUUUGGUGAAAAGGGAAUUUAACAUCAAACCCAACAUGUUUGUUCUGUAACAACACAUCAAGAUCGAGUUGUGAAUUUGCUGCUUUAUAUGAGCAUAAUAUAGUAUAACAUCAGAUCACUAUAUGUCGUGUAACAUGAUCCUUGGUAUGAUUAGUAUGAUCAGUAUAUUAUAAUCACUAUUAGUAUA